rnacentral:rRNA from 1 species
CGAACAGACGGGGAGCUUGCUCCCCCGACGUUAGCGGCGGACGGGUGAGUAACACGUGGGUAACCUACCUAUAAGACUGGAAUAACUCCGGGAAACCGGGGCUAAUGCCGGAUAACAUGUUGGACCGCAUGGUCCUACAGUGAAAGACGGUCUUGCUGUCACUUAUAGAUGGACCCGCGCCGUAUUAGCUAGUUGGUAAGGUAACGGCUUACCAAGGCAACGAUACGUAGCCGACCUGAGAGGGUGAUCGGCCACACUGGAACUGAGACACGGUCCAGACUCCUACGGGAGGCAGCAGUAGGGAAUCUUCCGCAAUGGGCGAAAGCCUGACGGAGCAACGCCGCGUGAGUGAUGAAGGCCUUCGGGUCGUAAAACUCUGUUAUUAGGGAAGAACAAAUGUGUAAAUAACUAUGCACGUCUUGACGGUACCUAAUCAGAAAGCCACGGCUAACUACGUGCCAGCAGCCGCGGUAAUACGUAGGUGGCAAGCGUUAUCCGGAAUUAUUGGGCGUAAAGCGCGCGUAGGCGGUUUCUUAAGUCUGAUGUGAAAGCCCACGGCUCAACCGUGGAGGGUCAUUGGAAACUGGGAAACUUGAGUGCAGGAGAGGAAAGUGGAAUUCCAUGUGUAGCGGUGAAAUGCGCAGAGAUAUGGAGGAACACCAGUGGCGAAGGCGACUUUCUGGUCUGCAACUGACGCUGAUGUGCGAAAGCGUGGGGAUCAAACAGGAUUAGAUACCCUGGUAGUCCACGCCGUAAACGAUGAGUGCUAAGUGUUAGGGGGUUUCCGCCCCUUAGUGCU